GGCGAGGUGAGUAAUGUCUGGGAAACUGCCUGAUGGAGGGGGAUAACUACUGGAAACGGUAGCUAAUACCGCAUAACGUCGCAAGACCAAAGAGGGGGACCUUCGGGCCUCUUGCCAUCGGAUGUGCCCAGAUGGGAUUAGCUAGUAGGUGGGGUAACGGCUCACCUAGGCGACGAUCCCUAGCUGGUCUGAGAGGAUGACCAGCCACACUGGAACUGAGACACGGUCCAG
rnacentral:rRNA from 1 species